AGUCGAGCGGUAGCACGGAGAAACUUGUUUCUUGGGUGACGAGCGGCGGACGGGUGAGUAACGCGUAGGAAUCUACCUAGUAGAGGGGGACAACAUGUGGAAACGCAUGCUAAUACCGCAUACGCCCUAAGGGGGAAAGGAGGGGACUUUUCGGAGCCUUCCGCUAUUAGAUGAGCCUGCGUGAGAUUAGCUAGUUGGUAGGGUAAAGGCCUACCAAGGCGACGAUCUCUAACUGGUCUGAGAGGAUGACCAGUCACACUGGGACUGAGACACGGCCCAGACCCCUACGGGAGGCAGCAGUGGGGAAUAUUGGACAAUGGGCGCAAGCCUGAUCCAGCCAUGCCGCGUGUGUGAAGAAGGCCUUAGGGUUGUAAAGCACUUUCAGGGGUGAGGAAGGGUGAUUGGUUAAUACCCAAUUAUCUUGACGUUAGCCCCAGAAGAAGCACCGGCUAACUCUGUGCCAGCAGCCGCGGUAAUACAGAGGGUGCAAGCGUUAAUCGGAAUUACUGGGCGUAAAGCGCGCGUAGGUGGUUUGUUAAGUCGGAUGUGAAAUCCCAGGGCUCAACCUUGGAAUGGCACCCGAUACUGGCAGGCUAGAGUAUGGUAGAGGGGUGUGGAAUUUCCUGCGUAGCGGUGAAAUGCGUAGAUAUAGGAAGGAACAUCAGUGGCGAAAGCGACACCCUGGACUAAUACUGACACUGAGUGCGAAAGCGUGGGGAGCAAACAGGAUUAGA
rnacentral:rRNA from 1 species